UCGACAACGUCUGCCCUGUCCCUUCAAUAGAGAAAGUGACGAGGCGUAGGUUGUUGCAA
rnacentral:pre_miRNA from 1 species